UACGUAGGGGGCUAGCGUUGUCCGGAAUCAUUGGGCGUAAAGCGCGUGUAGGCGGUCCGGUAAGUCCGCUGUGAAAGUCGGGGGCUCAACCCUCGGAUGCUGGUGGAUACUGUCGGGCUUGAGUACGGAAGAGGCGAGUGGAAUUCCUGGUGUAGCGGUGAAAUGCGCAGAUAUCAGGAGGAACACCAAUUGCGAAGGCAGCUCGCUGGGACGUUACUGACGCUGAGACGCGAAAGCUAGGGGAGCAAACGGG
rnacentral:rRNA from 1 species